CAAGGUCCAACACAAUUUAUUAUUGCUAAUCCCAUUGAUAUUAAUAGGCCCAAGUACCAGCUUAAACCCAAUUACUAGUUUGAGCCCAAUUAACUAUUUUCAGAUUCAAAUAAUUUAAAAUUAAUAACUUUCUUUAAAACAUAAAACAAGUUAAUCUCUCUCUGUUUUCUAUUUUUUCCCUACGCAGACAUCUCUCCCUCUCUUCGCUCCCUCUCUCGGCCGCCUCUCUCUCCCCCCUUCUCCGGCGAGCGUCGCCGGCUCGCGCCGCUUCCGGCACCGCGAGGCUGACGCAUCUUCUCCCCUUCCGCUUUCUUCCCUCUCCUUCCUACAUUUAAUUCCCAAAUUCUAAAAUCAAUUCAACCUAGGGUUUCUACCUCUCUUCAUCCCCUCUGGACUUCGUCUCUCCGGCGAAGCCUACCGCCCCGCCGUCGUCUCUGUCACGCCGCCGCCUCCUCUGUUCCAGGAAUCGAUGAUUCAAGGGAUCUCCAGUUCGUCUACUGCUCAAGAUCCAAUUUUUUAUAUGUUAUAAACCUAUUUUCCUUUAUUGCUUAUUGUAAAACUGAGAUUUUGAUGGUGAGGAAACAAUACUGUAUCGUUACUAUCACUAUGCUUAUGUGUAGCUAUGUCUUUUCUUUACAUAAAGAAUCUACUGUAUUGGAAGAAA